rnacentral:rRNA from 2 species
AUGGUUUAGUGAGGCCUUCUGAUUGGCGCCGCCGCCCCGGCAACGGAGUAGCGGAUGCCGAGAAGUUGGUCAAACUUGAUCAUUUAGAGGAAGUAAAAGUCGUAACAAGG